rnacentral:sRNA from 1 species
UUGGACGUCGCGCAGGAAGCGCACUGCAAAACAGGGAUACGCCGGAUUUCCGCCAGGAUGGCGGUUCGAUCAGGGAUGUCGGAAUACAGUCUGCAAAACCUCGCUUCGGCGGGGUUUU